CACCACUUUCAAAAGCGGUUGGCAGUGCAGAAAAGGAAGUGCAUUGGGCGGACGGAGCUUUCCAAGAAGUGCAUUGGGCGGACGCAGCGUUUGAUGUACGG
rnacentral:lncRNA from 1 species